UGGUACUGUACAAGAGGAAUAAAACACGUGUGGAAUGUGCUGUUUUAGGGAAAUCAUCGACUUUGUCAUGGUAACAGUAACCAUGGUAACCACUCUAACACAACAUGAUAAACGGUGUUUUAUUCCUCUGAUACUACAGCAAUCUGCUAACGAUUACAAUCAUUUUUAUUUGUUUCUAGUUACAUUCGAUGUUGCGCAACGGCUGACGAAGACGCUCUAAUCUUUUCUUCACCUUCAUUGUCGAUUAGGAAUCCAGGAAUAGAUGGAUUAAAAACAACACCACGGUACAAGGACUCGAAAUCCGAACACACGUGCGCUGAACGCGGUCCAAAUGGAAAUAACUGAAAAGCAACAUUUCGGUAAUUUGCUCUUUGACUUUAUGCCACUCUUCAGAAUGCCAAAGACAUGGAAAAAAAAAAUCGACAUGUGGAAACAGUGAAAUGGCAACGCGACGACGGAGAACCGUUAAAAGCAUUUUAUGUUUGUCAGGCUUUUGUGCAGGGAAGCAUGAAAUCUGGAGCCGUCUCUGACAGAACUCCAGAAAUCGGUGUUCUGGGCUGUGUUAUGACACACUGGACGUAGUGGACCCGGAGACACGGUGCAUGAGACUCGUCUGCAACCUGCGUCGAGAUUCAGACCCGGCCAAGGCAGCAACAUCUGCUUCUCUUCAGCGAGGCCCAGAUUCCUCGGACUGCCACUGGCAGCAACUCAGCGCGAGACGCUUCGCCGAAAACACGCUCCAGGCGCGAGUUAGAAAUUGUUCUAUUUACCAAAAGUUAAAAAUAGGAGCACAUGGGGAGUGGGCGACAAGCAUGUUUUUCAGGCGAAAAAAGAAAACAACUGGAGUUUGGUCUCACCGUAAUGACAAGAGCGUGUUAUUAUACAACUUAAUCGCAGGAGCUCUUUAUUGGUGUCAUUAUUUUUAAUCAGACUUGUAUUUAUUCGAGACCCAGAAUGCUAAUUUGUUGCUUUUGGCUGUCGUGUAUAUUUCAGGUUGAUUACACACCGCAUGCUAACCCUGCGUUGACGCUAACAAGCGACGUGUCCCAACGUGUUUCACUUGUAGUUUGUCUCUCGUGGGCGUAGACCGAGCCGUACUCUUGUCUCUCGUGGGCAUGGUGUGUCCAUCCAGCAUUUUUAGUUCCAUGCAACAACGGUAGUAGCUAAAACUUACAAGCAACAGAACACAAUAUAUUUAUUACGCUGUACGAUUCGAUUCGUUUGUCAUAAAAAAAGUACUUAAACUGAAUUCUAGUAUUUUAAUGAAGUGAAUGAAAAAAGUGUGAAAAUUGGUUAUUGUAUGUAUGUUACGUGCCAGGCCUUUUUUGUUUUAGCCUUGUUAGCAGAUUAGCAGCAUGAGCUAACUCCACUGGCUACAUACAGGGGAGCCGCCACAUACCAUAUACACCUAUUCUAUAUAACUUACUAUAACUAGUUGAACACAAUUUAACUAACAAACUAAUCAACGUGAAAACUGGCUGUUUCAUUUACAUGCUGUGUGCCAGGCUUUGUAUUAACUAUUAACAGAUUAGCAGCAGAAGCUAAGAAGCUAACUGUACUGUCUACAAACACUCUCCAGAGACACCAAUGAUCUCUGCUACUUCCUGUACAUAUUUGGAAUAUAUAUAUACACACACACACACACACGCACAUAUACACACACACACACACACACAUAUAUAUAUAUAUAUAUAUAUAUAUAUAUAUAUAUAUAUAUAUAUUUAUACAUAUGUACAGAAAAACACAAAACCACAGUUAUUAAGUUUUCCUCCAUUUUCUUGAGUCAAGCAGGAAAUGGAAACGAACUGCAGGUAGGAGAGCGGAAAUGAAAAGACAUGGUACCACACCUGCCAUACAAUUGGUCUGAUUGGUCCAAGCGUGGCUUUAUCGCAACGGUCACCUGUUGCUUUGUCGCCCGCUAGUGUGAACACACCUGAAGAUGUCCCGAAUAGCCCUACUUUUACGUUUUUUUAAAGUUUUUUUUACUUUUACAUUUUUUUCAUUUGUAAAACCGUGUGUGUUUCUAUUAUGAUUCGAGUCUUGUCUCCACUCCUGUCUUGUCAUUGGUCCACUCCAUAUUGCGUCAUGAUUUGACUCACCUGUUUCCUGCCAUUAAUUUGCUCCUGAUUUGUUUGUGUAGUUCCGCUGCAAUGCGCUGUACUGGGACCUCUGGGAUAAAAACCCGACCUCUGACACAGAAAAGGGAAAAGGCAGGAUUUAAUGCAAAGAUUUCCCUUUGCAUUAAAUCCUGCCUGAUAAAGUUGAUUUUACUUUUAACAGCAUUGUGUCGAUUCAUAACCUUCUGCUGAUUUCAACCCAGUUUUUAUGAGUAUUAUGAGUUGACCUACAUUACACGUCAUUUCCCUCUGUCAAUCACACAGAAAUAAUUUACAUACGUAAAUACUUAUUAAUAUGUUUAUCAAAUUCAGAGACUAGGCAUACAAACAUGAGCUUGCUUUGGGCAUCGAUUUAUUUUUUUGGAUGGAAAAUCUACUCGGAACUUUCAGAAUUUUCCGAAACCCGCCUGAUGAUUUCAGGUUUCUCGAUCGUUUCCUGGUUUCCUGCCCGUGCUUCGAUCAUAUGAUGAUGACGAUUUCUGACUUUGUCCGCAGAGUUUACGCAUUUUCCUCCCGUCUUUCCUCACUGCACGUUACAACAACAGGAACUAACUGCAAACAGAUAAAAAGUACUCGUUGCAAUGAGCGAGCGUGUUAUUAUACAACGAAAAACUCCUGAUCAUUUUCCAUCUCAUGUCUGGAAAUGUCGUUGCUGGAGCUGUUCACUGGUCUCAUUAUUUCGAAUCAGACUUUGAAACCCGGAAAGAUUUAGCUGUCGAGUAUUUUUAAGGUAAAAACACUCGAUUACAUGCCAAACCACCUUUCAGUUGAACAGGAAUCGAAUGGCUGUUAUCUAUACAGUGCACGAAAGGUCACUGAAAACAUGAAACAGUGCACUAACAGCUUCUAAUAUCCUGCGUCACUGCCAAGCUGAAUGAGCAGACGGUCCCCAACUGCACCCUGAUCUCAUGAUUAGCAACAACCAGGAACUCAUGUUGUUGAUGCUCAGAUUUAAAACAAAGUGGUGGAUUACAGUGCUCGUUAUCCACAGCUAGAGACGUGUUCGUUCGUAUCCUGACCUGCUGCUUGAACGCUUGGAUUAAAACCGCAGCUCCGGCAGCCAAGCUAACAGGCCUAAACAGCUAGCGCUCGGUCUGGCAUGAAACGAAGCAAAGUGCUGCUGAAAAUUAACUCCUUAAGUGUGCUACUGGAAUAACCACACCAGGCUGAGCUUAAUUUACACAAAACAUGCUUUAAUGCUGUGCUUAUUGGCAAAUAAAUACCUAGCUAUAGCUCUAAUUAGCUUGUAUUAUGUACUGAUCUAUCGAUAUACACAUUAGAGCACGAAUGAGCACAGACAUAAGCAUAAUAUAAUGGUGUACAUUUAAUAAAUGUAUAAAUGUAUUUGGUAACAGUAGUCGCUGGUUGUUUUCCUAUAACAGCACGUCACAGAGUGUUUUAUUUCUCAUUUGUCCUAAAGUACUUAUGUGCUAGUCCAUAUACAAAUUGUGAACUUAGAUGCGAAGGAAUGCACACGGUAUGCAGGACUAACGAGAAUUUACCUCACUUCCUGCCAUGGCUUUCCAAAAGGCGAUUAUUUCUUGAUUCGAUUCUUUAAAAAAAAAAAAGUUAACAUAUAUUGUUAGUUAGUGUAUAUUUUUAAAUGUCUAUCUACAGAUAUUUUUUAUUUGAUUUGUUCAUUCAGAUUUUUUUUAUAUAUAGUUUACUACAGUUCUCAGAAUUUCUUUCUUUUUUUUAGAAUAUAAAUAUUGUACAUGUCACACUUUCCUACAUUUGUUUUAUUUUGUGAAUUUUAUUUUUUUUACUGUUUAUUGUAUUCAAGUAAUGCAAUUUAACAGAAAAUAUUACAUAGUUAUGAAUCUUUACUACAAUAAGAUCACUUUAAGACACCUUGCACAUGUUUGCAGGACAUGAAUUGUUAAUUAUUUGUCUUUUUAUAAAUUUUUUUUAAUGUCACUAAGAAUAUUUUCACUCCUAUGAUUUGUACCGUUCCUUGCAUUUAAGUUUUGAAAAAAUCGAAAUGGAUUUAACGUGCUUUCUGCUUUCGUAUAACGGUUUUUCAUGAAAUAUAUCAGCUUUCUCUGAGUAAUCACGAACCGCUUUACCAAAUAAACAUAUUAAAGUCCCUUAAGUGACCGCACAGUAACCGGUUGCCAGGUAUUCACAUGUAAUUAAGUUUAAAAAGUAUAAACGUUUAAGGAAUAUAAAUGAACCGGUUUAAAAACGGGUCACCGAGUUUACAUAUAUAAAGCGGGUGCAAUUCGAUCAUGUAAAAAAAUUUUUUUAAAAAUUAUAUAUUUAAAUAUACAAAGCACUUCCACUUCCUAUACACACAUAUUUAUCAUGUUUUAUCACGUUGCUUAUAGUCUGCCAACUUUCUCCUGGCAGGAAGACAAAAAACAAAACAAAAUGAAAGACCUGCAGACGAACUCUGUAAAAACAUAUGAGUUGUGGAAAAUAACAAAAAGGUUUCAUGCUAGCAAUGGUUACCAAAAACAGCACGUUUGUGUGCCGUUACGUUGUUGUGCAAUACGUCAAUACAACGUUUAAGCCGUCAGCCUCGCGUCUUUCCCACAUCGAUAUGACAUAGAGACUGUCACGAAGCCCGUACUCCCAUAAAUACCAGUAAACCACAGAGUUAUAGGAAAUAUAAAAAUGGCUACACACCAGCCGGGUCGAGGAACUGUAAAGAAACCGCACUCUGUAAAGCUGCUUCUAAUCAUGUCAUCUUGCUGUCAUGUUCAUGUCGAAUUGCUUUACUUGGGCAACAGAUACUUUUUUUAAAAGUGUGGAAUGUAGAGUUGUUUUCACUUCAUGGCAUCAUCAAACGCUCAGGAGGAUUUACAGUAAAACCCCAGAGUGAUCUAUGUGACUAGGCAGAUAUUUACACACUUCUGUUAUGUUCAUUCGCCAGAUAUGUGGUGUACCACGAGUUCUCCCGCUAUGUCAUUACUAAACCAGCAGUUCUCAUUAAUUAUAUUUUCAACCUGGAAUCACACACACACACACACUCACUUAUAAUCCUUAAAACGUUCAUUCAUCUGAUUAGUUAUAAGAUUGCCAUCUUAUACAGCUUCUACAGCUUCAAUUCAAUUUAGUUUUAUUUGUAUAGCGCUUUUAACAGUGGACAUGGUCUCAACGCAGCUUUACAGAAACAUAUAAACAAAGGAUAGAGAUUUUAAAUGUGUGAAUUUAUCCCUAUUGAGCAAGCCAGUGGCGAUGGUGGCGAGGAAAAACUCCCUAAGAUGAUAUGAGGAAGAAACGUUGAGAGGAACCGGACUCAGUAGGGAACCCGUCCUCAUCUGGGUAACAACAGAUAGUGUGAAAGUAAAGGAAAGUUCAUUAUGGUUUUUAUAUGAAGUUUAUUUUGUUGAAAUAGUCCACUGUUCACUAAAGGAGACCUGAGUGCAAAAUUGUAUGUAGUAAUUGCAGUCCUAAGGCCAUCGCAGCAACCGUAGACCCAGCAACCACAGCGAGAAUGUCCAUGUGGAAUUGAGGUCCAAAACCAUUUCCAUGGUACUCCAAGCGGCACCGUCCUCAGCGAUCUCCAGGCUGCACCGCUUGGGGUCGUCCUCCAACUACAGGAAUUAUUGUUACCACACUGAUGUUUAUUAUCUGUACUGUAACACCACGUCCUGAAGUGUUCUCACUUCAGUCUCUCUAAGUUAACACAGCUUGCUGUCUUUCGUUACCAAGAAACCUCUUUCCUGAAGAUUUCAGGAAAACCUACAGCUUUACCUUGGACUGUUUGAGACUCCUUCCAUAAAUGUUAAAUAAAUGUCUCCUUACUUUACAAAAACUUCACCAUAUAAGUCCUUGUGAACAGAAACGAUAACAAUAUCAGAUCGAGUGCAUUAAUAUAAACCUGUGAUUUGCAGGGCCGCUGUUCUAGAAAAUUAAUCAAAACCUUCGGACCAAUCAGACCGAAUGAAUCUUCGAAACUGACACCAAUCUUGCACUCUAUGGCCAAAAGUACAGUCGUGGGAAAAAGAAAGUACACCCUCCUUCAAUUCAUUAUUCAAUGUUAUUAAUCAGGGCCUAAAUAAUAAUUGUGUGGUCCAUCUAUAAAUGUCUAUAAACAAAAAAUAAUAAUCUCAAGUAACAACAACAACAACAAAAGCACAACAGAUUUCACUAUGUAGUCUGCA